rnacentral:rRNA from 1 species
CCUGGUUGAUCCUGCCAGUAGUCAUAUGCUUGUCUCAAAGAUUAAGCCAUGCAUGUCUAAGUAUGAACUAAUUCAGACUGUAAAACUGCGGAUGGCUCAUUAAAUCAGUUAUAGUUUUUUUGAUGGUACCAUACUACUCGGAUAACCAUAGUAAUUCUAGAGCUAAUACGUGCACCAAGUCCCAACUCUUUGGAAGGGAUGCAUUUUUUAGAUAAAAGGCCGGCGCGGGCUUGCCCGCUUCUCCGGUGAAUCAUGAUAACUCGACGGAUCGCACAACCCUUGUACUGGUGAUGCUUCAUUCAAAUUUUUGCCCUAUCAAAUUUCGAUGGUAGGAUAGAGGCCUACCAUGGUGGUGACGGGAGACGGAGAAUUAGGGUUCGAUUCCGGAGAGGGAGCCUGAGAAACGGCUGCCACAUCGAAGGAAGGCAGCAGGCGCGCAAAUUACCCAAUCCUGACAUGGGGAGGUAGUGACAAUAAAUAACAAUACUGGUCUCAUCGAGUAUGGUAAUUGGAAUGAGUACAAUCUAAAUCCCUUAACGAGGAUCCAUUAGAGGGCAAGUCUGGUGCCAGCAGCCACGGUAAUUCCAGCCCCAAUAGCGUAUAUUUAAGUUGCUGCAGUUAAAAAGCUCGUAGUUGGAUCUUGGGUCGUAAAGGUCCGUCCGCCUACUCGGUGUGCACCUUCCCUUCCGUCCCUUUUGUCGGCGGCGUGCUCCUGACCUUAAUUGGUUGGGUCACGGCUCCGGCGCUGUUACUUUGAAAAAAUUAGAGUGCUCAAAGCAAGCUUAUGCUCUGAAUACAUUAGCAUGGAAUAACGUGAUAGGAGUCUGGUCCUAUUGUGUUGGCCUUCGGGACUGGAGUAAUGAUUAAUAGGGACUAACGAGGGCAUUCGUAUUUCAUUGUCAGAGGUGAAAUUCUUGGAUUUAUGAAAGACGAACCACUGCGAAAGCAUUUGCCAAGGAUGUUUUCAUUAAUCAAGAACGAAAUUUGGGGGCUCGAAGACGAUCAGAUACUGUCCUAGUCUCAACCAUAAACGAUGCCGACCAGGGAUAGGCGGAUGUUGCUCUAAGGACUCCGCCAGCACCUUCUGAGUAAUCAGAGUGUUUGGGUUCUGGGGGGAGUAUGGUCUCAAGGCUGAAACUUAAAGGAAUUGACGGAAGGGCACCACGAGGAGUGGAGCCUGCGGCUUAAUUUGACUCAACACAGGGAAACUUACCAAGUCCAGACAUAGUAAGGAUUGACAGAU